AUACGUAGGGUGCGAGCGUUAAUCGGAAUUACUGGGCGUAAAGCGUGCGCAGGUGGUUUUGUAAGUCAGAUGUGAAAUCCCCGGGCUUAACCUGGGAACUGCGUUUGAAACUGCAAGGCUAGAGUGUGGCAGAGGGGGGUGGAAUUCCGCGUGUAGCAGUGAAAUGCGUAGAGAUGUGGAGGAACACCGAUGGCGAAGGCAGCCCCCUGGGUCAACACUGACGCUCAGGCACGAAAGCAUGGGGAGCAAACAGGAGUAGAUACCCGGGUAGUCC
rnacentral:rRNA from 1 species